rnacentral:rRNA from 1 species
AGCAGCCGCGGUAAUUCCAGCUCCAAUAGCGUAUAUUAAAGUUGCUGCAGUUAAAAAGCUCGUAGUUGAAUUUCGGGAUCAUCAUGUCGGUCGUGCCUCGGUACGUACUGGCAUUGUUGGUUUCUACCUUCUGACGAACCAUGAUGUCAUUUAUUUGGUGUCGUGGGAAAUCAGGACUGUUACUUUGAAAAAAUUAGAGUGUUUAAAGCAGGCUCACGCUUGAAUACAUUAGCAUGGAAUAAUGAAAUAGGACGUUUGAUUCUAUUUUGUUGGUUUCUAGGAUCGACGUAAUGAUUAAUAGGGAUAGUUGGGGGCAUUAGUAUUCAAUUGUCAGAGGUGAAAUUCUUGGAUUUAUUGAAGACUAACUACUGCGAAAGCAUUUUGCCAAGGAUGUUUUCAUUAAUCAAGAACGAAAGUUAGGGGAUCGAAGACGAUCAGAUACCGUCGUAGUCUUAACCAUAAACUAUGCCGACUAGGGAUCGGAUGAUGUUAAUUUUUUAAUGACUCA